rnacentral:rRNA from 1 species
AGAGUUUGAUCCUGGCUCAGGACGAACGCUGGCGGCGUGCCUAAUACAUGCAAGUCGAGCGAAUCUUGAGGAGCUUGCUCCUUAAGGUUAGCGGCGGACGGGUGAGUAACACGUGGGCAACCUGCCUGUAAGACUGGGAUAACACCGGGAAACCGGUGCUAAUACCGGAUAAUUCUUCACCUCACAUGAGGUGAAGCUGAAAGUCGGUUUCGGCUGACACUUACAGAUGGGCCCGCGGCGCAUUAGCUAGUUGGUGAGGUAAUGGCUUACCAAGGCGACGAUGGGUAGCUGGUCUGAGAGGACGAUCAGCCACACUGGGACUGAGACACGGCCCAGACUCCUACGGGAGGCAGCAGUGGGGAAUCUUGCGCAAUGCGCGAAAGCGUGACGCAGCAACGCCGCGUGGGGGAAGGAGGCCUUCGGGUUGUAAA